UACGGAGGAUCCGAGUGUUAUCCGGAUUUAUUGGGUUUAAAGGGUGCGCAGGCGGGGAAUUAAGUCGGCGGUGAAAUUUUGCAGCUCAACUGUAAAAGUGCCUUCGAAACUGGUUUCCUUGAGUGUAGAUGAAGUAGGCGGAAUUUGUGGUGUAGCGGUGAAAUGCAUAGAUAUCACGAGGAACUCCGAUUGCGCAGGCAGCUUACUAAACUACUACUGACGCUCAGGCACGAAGGCGUAGGGAUCAAACAGGAUUAGAUACCCCCGUAGUCCCUGA
rnacentral:rRNA from 1 species